GGUCAGUUUGUUCCUUCCCGCUGCUCUGCAAGGUGUGUAAAUGGACAGGAGCCCGGUGCGUGACUGCUACUUGGUUUAACGGGAUGUCUGAGUGCCAGGACUGCCAUCUGGGCUGCAUCUCCAGGAGGCAAAUGGCUGCAGCAGGGCGCGGGGAUGUGCUGUUCGUCCGCACACCUCGGUGUGCGGCUUCACCUCUUUUCAGGAGGUUGUGAGGUGUCGUGUGCGCGUGUAGGGGGCUGAGUACCCACUGUCUCCGAACGUGCUGGCUUCUUCCGGUGGGCUUGACAACUGGGUUUGGUUCUCAGUCCCAGCGGUGUGGGUCCCCGGUUUCCUAAGAAACCUUCCACAGAUAACUGUAAAGACCGCUAGUGCUGUGGGGAGAGCCGGCGGUCUUCACAGACUGAGCGGGGAAUACGGGUCCCUGGAACCCCAAUCAAACUUCACCGCCGCGGAGUCUCAUGCUUGGCCUCCGGGAAGGCCCGAGGUGCCGCGACUUCACUCCCCUCGGCCUCUGCCACCCCUCCCUCCCACCCGCGGGGCGUGAGGUCCCAGGCCGUUCCCGGAGGCGCCUCCCCCGCCCCCGCCGGGGCCCCUUGCUCCGGCGACUCCGGCCACCCAUUUCCUGCGCCGCCUCAACCCCGCCCCGCGCGGGGUGGAAAGUUUCCCUCCUCAAGGUGGGCGGCUCCUUCUCCUUCCUUCCCGGCAGGCAGGGAAAGCCCGAAGCGAACUGGGAGGAGGGAGCGGGGGACUCGGAGGUCGCGGGCGAGAGAGGGGAAGU
rnacentral:lncRNA from 1 species